ACUUCAUGCCAUGCAGGGAAGACUUCCCAUAUGAUAGAUGUUUUAAUGCAGGUUUGAAAGAAAAGAAGGGAUGUAAAUUAAUCAAUAACCGAGAUUUUGUUUUUCUGUCUUGUAGCUGGAAAAGGAUUUUGGUCUGAGAUGCUGGGCGUGGGGGACUUCUAUUACGAACUAGGUGUCCAAAUUAUCGAAGUGUGCCUGGCGCUGAAGCAUCGGAAUGGAGGUCUGAUAACUUUGGAGGAACUACAUCAACAGGUGUUGAAGGGAAGGGGCAAGUUCGCCCAGGAUGUCAGUCAGUAGGUCUUGUCUUCCAAUCCCUUGGAGUACAGAAAGAGGUCUUUAAAAUUCAGAUGGAACUCUUUUCUCCCUAUUCCUCAUGUCUAGGCUAGCUUAGAAAUCUGUAUGAUCUCCAUAUCAUACAGGAAAAAAAAA
rnacentral:lncRNA from 1 species